rnacentral:rRNA from 1 species
CCCUUAGAUGUUCUGGGCCGCACGCGCGCUACACUGAUGCAUUCAACGAGUUCCUACCUUGGCCGAGAGGCCUGGGCAAUCUUUUGAACUUGCAUCGUGAUAGGGAUAGAUUAUUGCAAUUAUUAAUCUUGAACGAGGAAUUCCUAGUAAACGCAGAUCAUCAAUCUGCAUUGAUUACGUCCCUGCCCUUUGUACACACCGCCCGUCGCACCUACCGAUUGAAUGGUCCGGUGAAGCCUCAGGAUUGUGGUUAGUUUCCUUCAUUGGAAGUUAGCCGCGAGAACUUGUCUAAACCUUAUCAUCUAGAGGAAGGUGAAGUCGUAACA